rnacentral:rRNA from 1 species
AACGAACGCUGGCGGCAGGCUUAACACAUGCAAGUCGAGCGCCCCGCAAGGGGAGCGGCAGACGGGUGAGUAACGCGUGGGAAUCUACCCAUCUCUACGGAAUAACGCAUGGAAACGUGUGCUAAUACCGUAUACGUCCUUCGGGAGAAAGAUUUAUCGGAGAUGGAUGAGCCCGCGUUGGAUUAGCUAGUUGGUGGGGUAAAGGCCUACCAAGGCGACGAUCCGUAGCUGGUCUGAGAGGAUGAUCAGCCACACUGGGACUGAGACACGGCCCAGACUCCUACGGGAGGCAGCGGUGGGGAAUAGUGGACAAUGGGCGCAAGCCUGAUCCAGCCAUGCCGCGUGAGUGAUGAAGGCCCUAGGGUUGUAAAGCUCUUUCACCGGUGAAGAUAAUGACGGUAACCGGAGAAGAAGCCCCGGCUAACUUCGUGCCAGCCGCCGCCGUAAGAC